GGGAGGAUACAGAGAUCUGUGUUGAACAUUUUGUGUUGAUAUGUGAGAGAAGAAAGAGAAACAAGGAGAAUCAAUAACAAUAAACAAAGUGCAGUUACAGAAACUGAACAGCAGGGAGUUUAUUGAAUUUGCCAAAAAGAGGAGGAAGGUGUGAUGAUAUAGUGCAAUGGCUGCGCUGAGUGGUUUAACAAUGUGUGUGGAUGUUGCUCAAGAGGAAUCCAAUGCAAUGGAACAAUACAUUUGUGUGUUAUGCUUGGAAGACAUGUUUGAACACUAUUUAUUACUAUUUAU